UACGUAGGUGACCAGCGUUGUCCGGAUUUACUGGGCGUAAAGAGCGCGCAGGCGGUCGUUCAAGUCGAGUGUGAAAGCCCCCGGCUCAACUGGGGAGGGUCACUCGAUACUGAUCGACUUGAAGGCAGGAGAGGGAAGCGGAAUUCCCGGUGUAGUGGUGAAAUGCGUAGAUAUCGGGAGGAACACCAGUGGCGAAGGCGAUCUUCUGGACGGAUACUGACGCUGAGGCGCGAAAGCUAGGGGAGCAAACGGG
rnacentral:rRNA from 1 species